GAAGAUGUGGAGGUUCAACAAACACACACAACACAACACACGAGCAGAGUGAAGAGAAGAUGUGGAGGUUCAACAAUAGUAUAGAACAUUUGUGUUGUGAUCUGAGAAAUAUACUAAGCUAUGAGAAAACUAUCUAACAUGAUCAAAUAUGAAGAGUGCUGAACUUAAAGCAGUGAUGAUGGUGAGGUUUAUAAGCUGUUGUGGUCAGAACAAAUUUGAUUUGACUUCCUCUACUUGAUGAAGGAAGAGCUUCUUUUGUCUUCCUGUCUCUGCUUUAGAUUCAUCUUCAGUGUUGUGUGGAAGAAAACACGACAACAAGAUGAAGAUUAUUCAGCUUCAGUUCUAUGUAUUAAUCUGUUGUCAAGCUGCAGUUUCAGAUCUACUGACUGAUUUGGGAUCAAAUGUGAUCAUAAACUGUGAUCUUGAUGAAAAUGAGGUUUAUUGGAUUUUACUGAAAACAGCAGAUCCUCCGACACUGAUUCUACGAACAUCUCCAACACCAAUACCUCCUCAUUACUAUAAUAAAACAUUCAGAAACAAAUAUUCAGUGCAGUUUAAACAUCAUCUGGUUAUUAAUAAUGUGACAGCUGAUGAAUUAGGAGUUUAUUACUGUAUGAACACACGCACUCCUCCAAAACUCAGCAACAGCACCAGAAUAUACUUCACCGAACCGUUUCAUCAAACUGAGUGUCACAAUCACACAGUUCUGCAGAUUAUUGAUCAGAAUCAGACACAGUGGAAGAUUAUUAGCAUCAUAUCUGCUCUGAUGAAUGGACUUCUG